UCUACGGGAGGCAGCAGUGAGGAAUAUUGGUCAAUGGACGAGAGUCUGAACCAGCCAAGUAGCGUGAAGGAUGACUGCCCUAUGGGUUGUAAACUUCUUUUAUAAAGGAAUAAAACGAGGCACGUGUGCCUUUUUGCAUGUACUUUAUGAAUAAGGAUCGGCUAACUCCGUACCAGCAGCCGCGGUAAUACGGAAGAUCCGAGCGUUAUCCGGAUUUAUUGGGUUUAAAGGGAGCGUAGAUGGGUUGUUAAGUCAGUUGUGAAAGUUUGCGGCUCAACCGUCAAAUUGCAAUUGAUACUGGCGGGCUUGAGUACAGGUGAGGUAGGCGGAAUUCGUGGUGUAGCGGUGAAAUGCUUAGAUAGCACGAAGAACCCCGAUUGCGAAGGCAGCUUACUAAACUGUGACUGACAUUGAUGCUCGAAAGUGUGGGUAUCAAACAGGAUUAGAUACCCUAGUAGUC
rnacentral:rRNA from 1 species